UACGAAGGGGGCUAGCGUUGUUCGGAAUCACUGGGCGUAAAGGGCGCGUAGGCGGCUUUAUAAGUCGGGGGUGAAAGCCUGUGGCUCAACCACAGAAUUGCCUUCGAUACUGUAGAGCUUGAGACCGGAAGAGGUAAGUGGAACUGCGAGUGUAGAGGUGAAAUUCGUAGAUAUUCGCAAGAACACCAGUGGCGAAGGCGGCUUACUGGUCCGGUUCUCGACGCUG
rnacentral:rRNA from 1 species